GACGAACGCUGGCGGCGUGCUUAACACAUGCAAGUCGAGCGGAGCGGCGAACGGGUGAGUAACGCGUGAGUAACCUGCCCUGCACUUCGGGAUAAGCCUGGGAAACUGGGUCUAAUACCGGAUAGUGUGGGAUGGGCCCGCGGCCUAUCAGCUUGUUGGUGGGGUAAUGGCCUACCAAGGCGGCGACGGGUAGCCGGCCUGAGAGGGUGGACGGCCAAAUUGGGACUGAGACACGGCCCAGACUCCUACGGGAGGCAGCAGUGGGGAAUAUUGCACAAUGGGCGGAAGCCUGAUGCAGCGACGCCGCGUGGGGGAUGACGGCCUUCGGGUUGUAAACUCCUUUCACCAUCGACGGCGAAUAGUGCGAGGAUUUGACGGUACCGGAAUAGAAAGCCACGGCUAACUACGUGCCAGCAGCCGCGGUAAUUC
rnacentral:rRNA from 1 species